GCGAUUCCUUUGCCCGUCCCCUCCCCAUCCACUCGACGCACAGCGCCGCCACUGCUCAACGCCAUGCCGCCUCCGGUACCCACCGCUCGUCUUUAUCAUCACCUCGAGCUGCUACUUCCUCCUUAUCCCCUCACCAGCGUUCUCCUCUCUCUUUCCCCUCUCAUGAAGCUCCCUGCCCUCGCCUCUUCUAAGCCGCGUCUGCCAUGGAUUCCGGCGAGCUCGCCCGGCCGUUCCAGUGCCUCCCCAGCCCCAAUCCCCUUCUCCGCAUCUCCCUGCAAGCACGGCAUCCCUACAUCGGCCCCGCAGCACGCCCGAGAACCUCGCGCGUCUGUCUUCCCUGCCUCCGGCGAAAGCGCCGCCCGUCGUCGAUCCCCUCGCCCACAGCCUCCCGUUCUUCUCCGCCGCCUCCAGGAGAAGCUCCUCUCCCGCGUGAAGCCUCCCCUGCCCUCGUACGCGCCUCCAGCCGCCCGAAGCCGCCCCGCCGCGGCGCUCCUCUGCCGGCCGCCGCCUCACGCCGUCGGCCGCCUCCUCCGCCGUGAUCUGCUCGAAAGACCGAUGGGCUCUCACUGGCCAUGGCCGCCGGACCAGCGGGCGCGCAGAGCAGCGGCGCACGGCGCGGCAGGGCGCGGGGGAGCAACAGCGCCGGCGCGAUCUCCGCGCCGCUGAAGAGAAAUCGCCACGUCAUCGAGUAAAAAAAAGUUAAAUCGCCUGAUCAGCCCCUGAACCUCCUAAACCGUCCUAAACGUGCCACAUAGGCUCUAAAACCGCUUAGGGGAUGAUUUAAAUGUUAUUAAGAAUUUUGUGGUCUAAAUAACCGGUUUUCGAGUUUAGGGGUUAUGCGUCGGGCAAGUGACAUUUGGAGGUGCAAUAUGUACUUCUUUCUAAAUUUAUUGACCGUGCGCCGUUGGCCCGUAAUUUACAAUGA